rnacentral:rRNA from 1 species
CACUGGGACUGAGAUACGGCCAGACUCCUACGGGAGCAGCAGUGGGGAUAUGCACAAUGGGCGCAAGCUGAUGCAGCGACGCGCGUGAGGGAUGAAGGCUUUCGGGUGUAAACCUCUUUACUAUUGAACAAGGCGCCAUUUUUGUGGUGUUGAGGGUAGGUGGUGAAUAAGCGCCGGCUAACUACGUGCCAGCAGCCGCGGUAAUACGUAGGGCGCGAGCGUUGUCCGGAAUUAUUGGGCGUAAAGAGCUCGUAGGCGGCUUGUCGCGUCUGCUGUGAAAUCCUGGGGCUUAACUCUGGGCGUGCAGUGGGUACGGGCAGGCUAGAGUGCGGUAGGGGUGAUUGGAAUUCCUGGUGUAGCGGUGGAAUGCGCAGAUAUCAGGAGGAACACCGAUGGCGAAGGCAGGUCACUGGGCCGUUACUGACGCUGAGGAGCGAAAGCAUGGGGAGCGAACAGGAUUAGAUACCCUGGUAGUCCAUGCUGUAAACGUUGGGCACUAGGUGUGGGGGGCCUUUCCGGGUUUUCUGCGCCGUAGCUAACGCAUUAAGUGCCCCGCCUGGGGAGUACGGCCGCAAGGCUAAAACUCAAAGGAAUUGACGGGGGCCCGCACAAGCGGCGGAGCAUGCGGAUUAAUUCGAUGCAACGCGAAGAACCUUACCAAGGCUUGACAUACACCGGAAUCAUGCAGAGAUGUGUGAGUCUUCGGACUGGUGUACAGGUGGUGCAUGGUUGUCGUCAGCUCGUGUCGUGAGAUGUUGGGUUAAGUCCCGCAACGAGCGCAACCCUUGUCUCGUGUUGCCAGCAUUUGGUUGGGGACUCACGGGAGACUGCCGGGGUUAACUCGGAGGAAGGUGGGGAUGACGUCAAAUCAUCAUGCCCCUUAUGUCUUGGGCUUCACGCAUGCUACAAUGGCCGGUACAGAGGGUUGCGAUACUGUAAGGUGGAGCGAAUCCUUAAAGCUGGUCUCAGUUCGGAUUGGGGUCUGCAACUCGGCCCCAUGAAGUCGGAGUCGCUAGUAAUCGCAGAUCAGCAACG